rnacentral:rRNA from 1 species
UAAUUAGGUUGGCCCGCUGAACUUAAGCAUAUCAUUAAGCGGAGGAAAAGAAACUAACMGGAUUUCCCUAGUAGKGGCGAACGACCGGRAAUUASCCCAGCMCCGAAUCCKGUAUCUUUGGUAUUAGGAAUUGKGGKGUAAAGGUUGCWUCUUUAGUUGUUKGGKGKGCUUCAAAUUCACUUGAUUGUGAUAUUGYCCAUAGAGGGUGUUARACCCGUUGGAGUGCAACUUGGCAAUUAUUGAUGUUUCCUAUGAGUCGGAUUGUUUGAGAAUGCAGUCCAAAUUUGGKGGKAAACUCCAUCUAAGGCUAAAUACUUGUAUGAGUCCGAUAGCAAACAAGUMCCGKGGGGAAAAGUUAAAAAAAACUUUGAAAAGAGAGUAWAAUAGUACGUGAAAUCGCUUAGAGGUAAACGAGUGGAGCCGAAAGCGUUGUAUGGGAUUCAGUUGUGUAUGUAGUAAUGAUUGUUGUUUAGUGAAAUCUCAAUAGGAAUUGCUAAAUCGAUAUGUUUAUUAUAUGCGCAAUGCACUUUCUAUACAACUAAACUGUGACCAAUAGAAUUGUUUCUCUGUCGKAAUGAUGAAGGUGAUCAAUUGUUUACAAUUGGUUUUAUAGCUCAUUGCAUGGUUAAAUUUAAUGUAUUGGUGAAUGCGAUUAGUCAAUAUUGAUAAUAGACUAUAUGUGUGAUUUGGUAGCUGACUACAUGUAGACKGUUAUUGAAUGAUAUAUGUGGUGUUGUUAUUGAUGGAUUAAUCUAAAGUCGCAGUAUAAUGUAGGUUAUCUACUCGUCCCGUCUUGAAACACGGACCAAGGAGUUUUAUAUGAUCGCGAGUCAAAGGGCCAUACGAAACCCCAUGGCGCAAUUAAAGUGAAGGUUUACUUUCGUAAGCUGAGAUGUGACCUGAAGUAGGACGCAAGUCAGAAUUCAGUGCAACAUCUACCCGUCUAAUGAUGUUCGCAUCAGGGCGGAGUUUGAGCGAUCAUGUAGAGACCCGAAAGAUGGUGAACUAUGCUUGUGCAGGUUGAAGUCAGAGGAAACUCUGAUGGAGGACCGCCGCGGUUCUGACGUGCAAAUCGAUCGUCGGACAUGAGUAUAGGGGCGAAAGACUAAUCGAACCAU